rfam:Bacillus sp. KCTC 13219 scaffold10.1, whole genome shotgun sequence.
UUGGGUGGAAGUUAACCUAAAACCGUCACGUCCUGUGACAACGGUUAAUCGACCUGCGUCAUGCAGA